UCGGGGGCUUGAUGCUGGCGUGGAAACGCGCACUGUGCUCGGCCUUUCGUGCUUAAUCCACUCAACACCUGUGCACCUUAUCGAAGUUAGUAGUCUUUCCUCCUUAGUUGGAGCCGCCGGGGUUGACUUUGUUAGUAGUGUUUCGACGCGAAAAUAUGGUCGGCCUUGGCUGGGAUCGGCGAGCACUUUGACUUCAUCAUACACACUUUAAUUGUCUUGUAGAAUGUAAUGCUCCUUGUGGGCGAAAUGAAAUACAACUUUCAACAACGGAUCUCUUGGCUCUCGCAUCGAUGAAGAACGCAGCGAAAUGCGAUAAGUAAUGUGAAUUGCAGAAUUCAGUGAAUCAUCGAAUCUUUGAACGCACCUUGCGCCCCUUGGUAUUCCGAGGGGCAUGCCUGUUUGAGUGUCAUGUUAACAUCAAGCCCCUUGCUUGUAAAGGCUCGGGGCUUGGAUUUGGAGGUUUGUGCCGGCCUGCUUCAUUGUCGGCUGUCGGCUCCUCUUAAACGGAUUAGCUGGACUUUGGUCUGCGUGUCGGUGUAAUAGUUUAUUCACCAAUCGCUUGCCUAAUGGGUCUGCUUCUAAUGGUCUUCGGACAAGGUCUUUAACAGCCUUCUUGACUCUUUGACCUCAAAUCAGGUAGGACUACCCGC
rnacentral:rRNA from 1 species